GUGAUAGAGUGUGGAUGGCAUCACCUGCCCAGGUGCCCAGCUGGACAUCCUCCAAAACCUAGUGGCUAAUACACGGUCGCAACAGUCUGCCUCACCAAGGNUGCCCUGUUAACUGGAGCCUCAGCCCCAAGUGGCAGAGCCAGUGGUGGAUUGCACCCAGCUGUUGGCAAGACCAGCACCUGUAACAGGGUAGUGUGUGAAGGCUGACUNAGGCUNGUCCCUGUGCCUCUCUUGGGUUUGUGGACAGCUGCGCUGGCAGAGUGGUGGCCCAUGGCCACAGCAUNGNUUGAUCACNCGAGCUUCUGACCUAUCAGCNUGGACUGUGGUGUCUUGGACCACAGNGGCGGUGACGGGUGACAGAGAAUCAGGGUUUGNUUCUGGAGAGGGAGCNUGAGAGAUGGCUACCACUACCAAGGUGGGCAGCAGNCGNGCAANUUGCCCAAUGNUGAAGCACUCNUGGUGAGGCAGCAACGAACUGCAGCAAUCCCGCCUGUCCUUGUGACCAGUGGGACUUGGAUGGAUGCAAUCCAAACACAGUGAUGAGUAUCAACUGGAGGGCAAGUCUGGNGCCAGCAGCCGCGGUAAUUCCAGCUCCAUGAGUGUACACUAACACUGCUGCUGUUAAAACACUUGUAGUCGGAUGCUGGGUGCAGGUCUGCCAGGNGGCCGUCACACUGNUUGUGUGGNUGUGGGCCCCAGNGGUCUCCGCGGCUGGGCCUGUGUGAUGGGCCUCAACCCCUGGCAGUGAGCUCCUGUGCCCCAUGGNAAUGAUGGUGANAUGCUGCCCCUGCUCCAAGUCUCCUUCAGNGGGGAUCGNUGCCGUUGUGCAUGCCCAACGCACGUGUGUCUGGNUCUCAGGGUCANAGNUGUGUGCUCUGCAAGUCCCUGGCCCACNACCGGGGUCCACCAUCGCANUCACNGUGNANAACUCAGNGUGCCUCAAGCANCCAGUCCUGGNUGGAUGCUCGUNCAUGGAAUGACAAAGCAUUGACCUGAUGUGGCCUGUGGAGUUGUGCUGGCCUUGGUGCUCAUUCAGGGGAACCUGGUGCAGUGGCCUCUCCAUGGCCAGGCGGGNUAAGUANCUGCACACACCAGUGUGGCCUACUGGCCUGAUACUGGCCCGGGUUGGCUGGCUGUGCCUCUCAGCCAUGAUGGGACUGCUNGUGGUGAAGGGUACUGCAGCGCCAGUGGUGAAAUACUUAGACCGCUGCAAGACNAACUCCAGCGAAGGCGCUCUGCAAGUGCAUGUUNGUCGAUCAAGAAUGAGAGUGUGGNGAGCNAAGAUGAUCAGACACCGUCGUAGUCCACCACUGUAAACCAUGCCAGCUCAGUGUUGAAGGUGCAAGUCUCCGCUGACUCCUCCAGCGCUAUGCCCCCAGCAACGAGAAAUCCAAGCCUUUGGGUUCAGGGGGAAGUACUGUCGCAAGGCUGAAACUUAAAGGAAUUGACGGAAUGGCACCACCNGGCGUGGAGUGUGCGGCUAAUUGACUCAACAC
rnacentral:rRNA from 1 species